UACGUAGGCAGCGAGCGUUGUUCGGAGUUACUGGGCGUAAAGAGUGCGUAGGCGGUUUUCUAAGUUUGGUGUGAAAUCUCCCGGCUCAACUGGGAGGGUGCGCCGAAGACUGGAAGGCUUGAGUAUGGGAGAGGUAAGCGGAAUUCCUGGUGUAGCGGUGAAAUGCGUAGAUAUCAGGAGGAACACCAGUGGCGAAGGCGGCCUCUGGUCCAUUACUGACGCUGAGGUGCGAAAGCGUGGGGAGCAAACAGG
rnacentral:rRNA from 1 species